rnacentral:rRNA from 1 species
CGGGGUGCAGCAGGCGCGAAAACUCUACAAUGCAGGCAACUGCGAUAGGGGGACAUCGAGUGGCAUCCACCUUGGGUGCCUGUCCAACCGUCUAAAAAACGGUUGUUAGCAAGGGCCGGGUAAGACCGGUGCCAGCCGCCGCGGUAAUACCGGCGGCUCGAGUGGUGGCCGAUAUUAUUGAGUCUAAAGGGUCCGUAGCCGGCUUUGCAAGUCCCCUGGGAAAUCCAGCGGCUUAACCGUUGGGCUUUCAUGGGAUACUACAUUGCUUGGGACUGGGAGAGGUAGGAGGUACUCGGGGGGUAGGGGUGAAAUCCUGUAAUCCUCCGGGGACCACCGGUGGCGAAGGCGUCCUACCAGAACAGGUCCGACGGUGAGGGACGAAAGCUAGGGGCACGAACCGGAUUAGAUACCCGGGUAGUCCUAGCCGUAAACGAUGCCCGCUAGGUGUCACGACGGUCGUGAAUCGUCGUGGUGCCGUAGGGAAGCCGCGAAGCGGGCCACUUGGGAAGUACGGCCGCAAGGCUGAAACUUAAAGGAAUUGGCGGGGGAGCAC